rnacentral:rRNA from 1 species
GAUCAUGGCUCAGGAUGAACGCUAGCUACAGGCUUAACACAUGCAAGUCGAGGGGCGGCGGGAUUGAAGCUUGCUUCAAUCGCCGGCGACCGGCGCACGGGUGAGUAACGCGUAUCCAACCUUCCGUACACUCAGGGAUAGCCUUUCGAAAGAAAGAUUAAUACCUGAUGGUAUCUUAAGCACACAUGUAAUUAAGAUUAAAGAUUUAUCGGUGUACGAUGGGGAUGCGUUCCAUUAGGUAGUAGG